UACGUAGGGUGCAGGCGUUUAAUCGGAAUUACUGGGCGUAAAGCGUGCGCAGGCGGUUUGCUAAGACAGGUGUGAAAUCCCCCGGGCUUAACCUGGGAAUGGCAUUGGUGACUGCACGGCUAGAGUGUGUCAGAGGGGGGGUAGAAUUCCACGUGUAGCAGUGAAAUGCGUAGAGAUGUGGAGGAAUACCGAUGGCGAAGGCAGCCCCCUGGGAUAACACUGACGCUCAUGCACGAAAGCGUGGGGAGCAAACAGG
rnacentral:rRNA from 1 species